GAUCUGACACGGCGAAAUAAACAUGAGCUGCAAAUAUACUUCGAUCGUGUCUACGAAAAUGAACGGCAGAUAAAGCACCAGUUCAAGCUGCAUCCUGAUGCCAGUUCAGCACCUGGAGGAAAAGAGCACUUAUCAGCAUGUCCUGAACCUUGCUCUCCGUUCCUAAAGAUCUUGCAUUGGUGUGGCUGUUUAAUUAUCACGUGCAGUAAUUGCCUACUGUCCACUCACUCAUCUCAGUUCUUUAAUCAUCCUCUCUAUCUCUUUUUGUCUUUUCUGAAUGCAGCUUUCUUGUUUUGUGAUAAGACCUUCCCAACCAUUACCUAGGGCUUUUAAUCAGAUCUAUACGACUCCUGGGGUUAGUGUGUGAAAGGUGGAAAUGAUUCUAAGGGCCCACGGGUGUAAAAUUGUGUGCAGCAAUUUUAAAUUCUAAGUAUGAUUUCUAAAUUUUAAACUACCUUUUUAAACUUUUGAAUUUAAACAAUCAGGUAACCCAGAAUCCGACAGCCCUAAUGUAUAAUGUUAGAUGUAGCCGCAUCCAGUGCAAAAUUCCCAUUCACUUUCCAUUCAGAUUUCAGGAUGUCAUUAAGCCUUAUUGGUUAACCUGUGCCAAAAUUAUGCCGUGUUAGUGUAUAGUUUGGCAUAGUCUGCACUAACAGAUCUCAACUUUGAGCUUCGAAUAUACAAGCUGUCAAUCAACUAGACAUGUCCCUGUAUGUGCAUAAUUUUCACACCGUCAUGUGAAGACGUUUCCCAGCCUGUGCUCUUGAGCAUAGCUCUUUUGAGUCCACUGAACUUUAAAGAGCAUGUGACAGAUCAGCAUGCUGACGCACCAUGCUAAAAGUCAGAGAGAGUGAGAGAUAAAAUGAGAGAGGGUUGAAUUAGACCUGACGUAUUAAAAAUGCCUAUACUUGGUCUUGGUUGACUAGAGAUCAGGUGGAUCAAUGUCCACGUCAGGGAUGGUGAUUGAUUAAGCCGUUGGCUAAGACACACAAUCCUGUUCUCACGCAGUAAGAAAUAUGAGC
ensembl:lncRNA